rnacentral:rRNA from 1 species
AGAGUUUGAUCAUGGCUCAGAAUCAACGCUGGCGGCGUGCCUAACACAUGCAAGUCGAACGAGAAAGUGGAGCAAUCCAUGAGUAAAGUGGCGCACGGGUGAGUAACACGUGACUAACCUACCCUUGAGUGGGGAAUAACUUCGGGAAACCGAGGCUAAUACCGCAUAACACCUACGGGUCAAAGGAGCAAUUCGCUUAAGGAGGGGGUCGCGGCAGAUUAGUUAGUUGGCGGGGUAAUGGCCCACCAAGACGGUGAUCUGUAUCCGGCCUGAGAGGGCGCACGGACACACUGGAACUGAAACACGGUCCAGACUCCUACGGGAGGCAGCAGUGGGGAAUUUUGCGCAAUGGGGGAAACCCUGACGCAGCAACGCCGCGUGGAGGAUGAAGUCCCUUGGGACGUAAACUCCUUUCGAUCGGGACGAUUAUGACGGUACCGGAAGAAGAAGCCCCGGCUAACUUCGUGCCAGCAGCCGCGGUAAUACGAGGGGGGCGAGCGUUGUUCGGAAUUAUUGGGCGUAAAGGGCGCGUAGGCGGUUGGAUAAGUCUUGUGUGAAAUCUUCGGGCUCAACUCGAAGUCUGCACGAGAAACUAUCUGGCUUGAGUGUGGGAGAGGUGAGUGGAAUUCCUGGUGUAGCGGUGAAAUGCGUAGAUAUCAGGAGGAACACCUGUGGCGAAAGCGGCUCACUGGACCACAACUGACGCUGAGGCGCGAAAGCUAGGGGAGCAAACAGGAUUAGAUACCCUGGUAGUCCUAGCCCUAAACGAUGAUCGCUUGGUGUGACGGGUACCCAAUCCCGCCGCGCCGAAGCUAACGCGUUAAGCGAUCCGCCUGGGGAGUACGUCGCAGGCUGAAACUCAAAGGAAUUGACGGGGCCCGCACAGCGUGGAGCAUGUGGUUUAAUUCGACGCACGCGAGACCUUACCUGGGCUCGAAAUGUAGUG